CACAAUUGCAACAAUCUUUGAUGUGCAAAUUGAUAAUGCUUCUCAGACCGUGCUGCUCGUUCAGAAAGCCCCAUGGAAUGCAUCAUAAUGUUAUUAAACCAUAAAGUAGAAGGUUUCAACUUUGAAGGUUUCAACUUUUUGGUUUCAUUUGGAGAGUCCCCAACUUUUUCUUUGGUAGCAUUUCUAGUCCACUGAUCUAACAAAUAACAUAUCGGAAGUGAGAGAAUCUGUUUUUUUAUAAAUACCAUUAGCACAUGCCUGCAUAGAAUUCCCAUGAACUCAAACUUGUGGCACGAACAAACCGCAUGUUUUAAUGCAGGAUUCAAGGUAACGAUGUACGCAGGCUUUUGUUUUUGAAACUGAUGUACCUUAUAAAAGUGCUUUUCAUCCUUAACCUCAAUCUUUUCUAGAAAUUCUAGAAGUUAUUACUCUGCUUGACCCUCCACGAGUGGUAACUAGAGGGCGUCCGCAAUCUUUGAGAAUGCAAGGUGCUCUAGAAGUUACUCAGAAGACCAAAAAAGUUUCUGCUCAGAAGACCAAAAAAGUUUCCGCUCAAAAGACCACAAAAGUUUCCGCUCAAAAGACCACAAAAGUUUCCGCUGAGAAACCAAAAAAGCAAACGAGAAGUACGAAACUGAAGAGAAACGGAACAAGUUCGAAUUCUAUUGCCGAAGCCGAACAGGAAAGUACAACAACAUCUAACGAGGCUCAUACAAUGGUAAAAAAUAUUAUAACAACUUUUGUCAGUUGGCUUAUUUUAAUGUGCCUUUUUCUUCAACUAACAAAUGCUUUCAAUUUUUUUGUCAUUUAAUUUAUAAGCAAUUUCAGCGAUAUCCAGAAUAUUAUCAAGGAUAUAUUGAGAACACUAAUUCUGCAUAUGCCACCUCAUUUAUGGAUUUGAUGAAAACAGCUUCAACUCCAUUCCAACAAAAUUAUCCUAGUUAGCGAGUAAGAAGAUAGAAGAUCUGGAGCUUUAGAAUACAAAGGAAACAAGGAGAAAAGAGUUAUUUACACUUCAAUAUUAGUUGUUAUUUACACUUCAAUAUUUUUUUUUAUAUUUUCUUAUUUUGAAUUCUGAAUUGUCCUUUCAUUGUUUAUUUUAACGUGUAUAGUGGUAUAGACAGUUUUGGUAUUUGAACAUAAUAAGACUGCUUGUAAUGCAGUUUGCAAUCUAUUUUUGGGUCACAAAUAUUUGAUUUCAUAUUAUUCGUGAAAAUAGAUGCAUUUUGUAUCAUUAGAAACUGAACAUGGUGAUGUAAAGAUUCCUCUGCAACUUGAUAAAUAUACUGUAAAAAUAGCUGAUGUGAAAAUAGGUGCUCUCAAAGGUUAGUACUCUCGCAAAAAGAGUCUAUAUUGUCACUUUUUUUUUAUAAUAUAUUGCGAGCACAUUCACUGCAAUGCUUUAAGAGUAAAGCUAGUAUAGAUUCUUCAGAAUAUAGAGCUAAAAAGAUAAAUCAACUUACUUUUUGUUUCUUCCAGAUCCCAUAGCUUUAUCACACCUGAUGAAGCUCUAACAAGCACUAGAACUUCUGCUGAGUCAAAAGCUACAGAUUCUAUUCGACUCGUGUGACCACUUAGGCUCUGCAAAAUUGCACAAAACUAGACUAUUCAGUCUUAGAUGACUAAGUGAUUUAAGAUAAAUAAAAAUAAGAACAUGUAGGAGUAAACUCUUCAGUCUUCACAACACAAUGAGCCAAAAAUAAUUUCAUGAUUCAUACUUAGAUGAAUGAUCCAUC